UGAGGCUCCAUCCCGGUACCAAAAAGAGAGAUAGUUACUAGGGGCUAGUAGGGAGGGACAGAUCAAUAGGUGAAGCACAGAGGAUUUUUAGGGCAGUGAAACUCUUCUGUAGGAUGGAUACAUGAUUUGGUACAUUUGUCAAAACCUCCAGAAUGUGCAACAUUAAGCAGGAACCCUAAUAGAGGGAGGACUUGGGGUUAUAGUGAUGAGUCGUUGUAGGUUCAUCAUUUAUUACACGCCCUAUUUGGGGCCCGAUGGUGAUAGUCGGGGAGGCUGUGCAGGUCUGAGGCCUCCUACUAGGCUCACCUUCUAAAGCUCCUUCUCAAGUUCUCAGUACCUCCUAAUAGUGCCACAGACUGGGGACCAAGCCUUUAACAUGAAUGUAGGCCUUUGGGGGAGGAACCCUUGUCCACACCAUUGAAGAAACUUUAUGUCCGAGUUAUUUUUGCUGAUGUUUUUUUGCAGCACUGGGAAUCAGACCCAGGGCCUUGUCACUCUACCACCGAGUAACAUCCCCAGCCCUACGUACAAGUAGUUUUUGUGCUGCAAAAAGUUCCUCAGGAGACCUCCUCGGUGCUGGACCUAAGCAAAACAGUGAAAAUCCAUUGGUGCAGAAGCCCCUGCUGCAGGUGCUAGGAAUAUUAUCAACACCUAAAGCCACCCUACGGCAAGGGUAUGACGGAUGACCAAACAGAGGCUCGGCAAGAUCGGAACCUGCCCAAGGUCACGCAGCGCUGGCAACAGCAGAACUCAGACCCAAGUGUGUCUCGACUGUAGGAAACCCCUAUUUUUCUGCCCUCAGAGUCUGGUUUUCUCCCAGCCCCCUCUUUUCUUCCGGAAGGAGCACUGUCCCCCAGAUGUCUCCUUCCCUGCUCAUGUGUGGAUUGUUCUCAGGUGAGGUCCAUCUCCAGGCCGCAGUUGGUUCCAUCCAGGCGGGGACCUGACCCAGGGAGCGGGUGCCAGUGUGUUCUUCCUCGGGGGUUUGACCCCGAGGUGGCAUUGCACUCUGACACAGCCAGGCCGCGAACUCCAGGCCCUGCCAUCUCGAGAAACUGGUCUUCAGGGAGAGAGAAGGAAGUGACCGCAAGAGAAACCGAGGAGACAGAAGCCUGGCAGCACUCACCGAGGCCCCUCCAUCCCCACCUUCCCCGUGGCCAGAUUGUCGUCCAACCUUUCCUGAACUGAGUGAGGCACAUGCUCUGGCGGCAAGAAGUGGACUUCCAGUCAGGAAACUUGGUGAGAUGUGAAUGAGACACUGCUCUCUGGUGCUAUCGAUUUAUUAACUGUUCCGAGCACUUAGGUCAAGCCUCUGCAGAGGGGACAAGAGACUGGACUGUUGUCUCAAACAUCCCACAGUGCACUGAGGCUUUCAUUGUGUUAGAGGACAAAGGUCCUAGGACCAUCCAAGAAAGGAAACCAGAACAAAAAACCCUGUAUGUUGAUUUUGCAGUUCAGUUACAUCUUGAAGUAAUAACAAAAAGAAUAAUUGAUGAAGUAAAACUACCUUCUCCACAAGUCAUGCUUUAGAGCAUCAACA